rnacentral:rRNA from 1 species
CAGUCGCCACGGUAAUACAUAGGUCGCAAGCGUUAUCCGGAAUUAUUGGGCGUAAAGCGUUAGUAGGCUGUUUAUUAAGUCUGGAGUCAAAUCCCAGGGCUCAACCCUGGCUCGCUUUGGAUACUGGUAAACUAGAGUUGGAUAGAGGUAAGCGGAAUUCCAUGUGAAGCGGUGAAAUGCGUAGAUAUAUGGAAGAACACCAAAGGCGAAGGCAGCUUACUGGGUCUAUACUGACGCUGAGGGACGAAAGCGUGGGGAGCAAACAGGAUUAGAUACCCCUGUAGUCCCUGUCUCUUAUACC